CCCUUGACGGUAUCUAACCAGAAAGCCACGGCUAACUACGUGCCAGCAGCCGCGGUAAUACGUAGGUGGCAAGCGUUGUCCGGAUUUAUUGGGCGUAAAGCGAGCGCAGGCGGUUUCUUAAGUCUGAUGUGAAAGCCCCCGGCUCAACCGGGGAGGGUCAUUGGAAACUGGGAGACUUGAGUGCAGAAGAGGAGAGUGGAAUUCCCAUGUGUAGCGGUGAAAUGCGUAGAUAUAUGGAGGAACACCAGUGGCGAAGGCGGCUCUCUGGUCUGUAACUGACGCUGAGGCUCGAAAGCGUGGGGAGCAAACAGGAUUAGAUACCCUGGUAGUCCACGCCGUAAACGAUGAGUGCUAAGUGUUGGAGGGUUUCCGCCCUUUCAGUGCUGCAGCUAACGCAUUAAGCACUNCCGCCUGGGGAGA
rnacentral:rRNA from 1 species